rnacentral:rRNA from 1 species
UACGUAGGGGGCGAGCGUUGUCCGGAUUCAUUGGGCGUAAAGCGCGCGUAGGCGGCAGGGCAAGUCGGCCGUGAAAUCUCCCAGCUUAACUGGGAGGGGUCGGGCGAGACUGCCCCGCUAGAGGCGGGUAGAGGGCAGUGGAAUUCCGGGUGUAGUGGUGGAAUGCGUAGAGAUCCGGAAGAACACCUAUGGCGAAGGCAGCACUCUGGGACGGUACUGACGCUGAGACGCGAAAGCGUGGGGAGCGAACAGG